rnacentral:rRNA from 1 species
UACAGAGGGGGCAAGCGUUAUUCGGAAUUACUGGGCGUAAAGGGCGCGUAGGCGGCUCGGCAAGUCGGGAGUGAAAGCCCGGGGCUCAACCCCGGAACGGCUCUCGAAACUGCCGGGCUCGAGUGCGGAAGAGGCAACCGGAAUUCCCAGUGUAGCGGUGAAAUGCGUAGAUAUUGGGAAGAACACCUGAGGUGAAGGCGGGUUGCUGGGCCGACACUGACGCUGAUGCGCGAAAGCCAGGGGAGCGAACGGG